rnacentral:lncRNA from 1 species
GAAUAUUAAAGUACCCAAGUUUGAAUCCCACAAUUUACAACUGCAAUGUGUGUCAACUACACCGUAUGCAUGUCAUGAAUGGAUUGUCUAGUUCUUUUCGAUUUUCAUCCGAUUUUUCUUGAGCGUUGUACUAAUUUAAUUGUGCAUUAGAGUUGCUAAAACAUAGUUAUUAACAUAUUUAUGCAGUAAGAUUAGAUGAUUAACUUUUGCAGAAGACCCAAAAUAGCCAUAACACCCUACCUAACUUCGGCCAAAGGAGUAGUCAUUUCAAUUCAAAGAGGCGCAUACACCAUCCGUCUCUCCCCUGACUGUCGUCUUUGUUCAUGUUCUCAACUGAUUAGAGACCCAAACCACCUCAUGGAAAAUGAGGCUUCGUACCGCCCACAAAACUGCGACAACUCCCAAGUUACAUGUUGAGAGGCACAUUUCAGAUUUCCAUAUCUAUGGAUUUACGUCUUUAAUCCCCCACAAAAUUACACCAAACGCUCAGCUUCAACCCCAUUCAUUGUUGCUGAGCUUCAUGAUUAAGUUGAUUAAGCCUGAUUCUUUUCCUCAACCAGCCUUAAACCAGUCUAUUUUCUCUGCUGGAUUAGAAACUAAUGUACUUUAAGAUUUAAAAGAACACCACAUUACUGCAAAACGAGAACUUUUAGACUAUUUGUUAAAAGGGAAAAAAAUAAAAAGGGCAUAGGCACAGAGAUAACUAUAUAACCAUAUGAGAUUAUCAUACCAUGAGAAUAAGAACAGCUUUUCAGCAGUGUUACGUAUAAAGCACCGACAAUAUUCCUCCUGAGAACCCAGAUUCAUCUCCAACAUAAUAUGCAAUCCAAUAGCGUGUCAUAAAGGACUAGAAGACUUCCAACAAUAUUCCUCCUGUUCUAUUAAUAUAGAGUUUCAAGUCUGAAAAAAGAAGACAUGGUCAGCAUGGAUGAGGAAAACCACAUGGCAGACAUGAUCUAACCACAGAUCAGUCGGUGCUUAAAGUUAAUAAUCAUAAGGGCAACAUCAGGAAAUGUGCAAAACGAGAGUACGAUAUUCCACUUCCCACGUCAUGUGGAGGUGUUGGGGUGCACAUGUUAAGCUUCAAUUCUGCAUUCCUUAUCAUCCCAAACUGAUCAGAGAUUUUCCAUGCCAUAUAACAGAACAGAUUAAGUGCAGCCUAUCUAUCUAAGGUGCCAAACAGUGUUGUCAAGGCAGGCGCCUAAACACAGCAUUUGAUCGAGUUCCUCUUCAAUUUAUAUUAUUUUUCACUGUUUUCAUUUGAAGUACUUUACUAAUAAGGAAGUGAUUAUGUCAAAACUAUAAACAUUCAACAACAAACAUUGACCAUAAGAAAAUCAUGCAUAUUGAUCAAUAAGAAAAUUGCAUGUCGUAUUUAGAGUUCACCAUAUAUCUUAAGCUUUAUAUAUUAUGUAUAAAAACAGGCUUGUAAAAGCUCAAAUAUACAAGUAGAGCUUUA